AUAAAGGCUCUUUUUAGAGCCACACACAAAGAUCAAAAAAGAGUUU
rfam:Pelodiscus sinensis unplaced genomic scaffold scaffold49, whole genome shotgun sequence.